CCCCGGCCCCUCACGCGGGAUAGCCGGGAAGGAGCAGGGAAGGGUUUGAUACACCGGGACCCUCACACGGGAUGGCCGGGAAGGGUUUGGAACACCAGGACCCUCACACGGGAUGGCAGGGAAGGGUUUGGAGCACCAGGACCCUCACACGGGAUGGCAGGGAAGGGUUUGGAGCACCAGGACCCUCACAGGGAUGGCGGGGAAGGGUUUGGAGCACCAGGACCCUCACAGGGAUGGCGGGGAAGGGUUUGGAACACCAGGACCCUCACACGGGAUGGCAGGGAAGGGUUUGGAGCACCAGGACCCUCACAGGGAUGGCGGGGAAGGGUUUGAUACACCGGGACCCUCACAGGGAUGGCGGGGAAGGGUUUGGAGCACCGGGACCCUCACAGGGAUGGCGGGGAAGGGUUUGGAGCACCGGGACCCUCACAGGGGAUGGCGGGGAAGGGUUUGGAACACCAGGACCCUCACAGGGGAUGGUAGGGAAGGGUUUGGAGCGCCAGGACCCUCACAGGGAUGGCGGGGAAGGGUUUGGAGCACCGGGACCCUCACAGGGAUGGCGGGGAAAGGUUUGGAGCACCAGGACCCUCACAGGGGAUGGCAGGGAAGGGUUUGGAGCACCAGGACCCUCACACGGGAUGGCAGGGAAGGAGCUGGGAAGGGUCUGGAGCCCAGGAGAGGCUGAGGGAGCUGGGCAGGGGCUCAGCCUGGAGCAAAGGAGGCUCAGGGGGCCCUUGUGGCUCUGCACAGCUCCUGCCAGGAGGGGACAACCGGGGGGGUCGGCACUGCUCCCAUGUUGGAUCAGAAUCUCCUCUUUGGUAUAAAGCCACUGAUGCUGACCAGGAGUAGGAAGGAUAACAAGGGAGCAGGAAAUAAAAUUCCUACAGACACAGCAGGAGGGAGAAGCUUGGAAGAGUUAAAGCCCAUCUCAUUCCACCCUUGCCACUUUCCACUAGACCGGGUUGCCCAAGGCUCAUCCAACCUGGCCUGGCGCCUCUUAAUGAUGUUAAUUAAUUCAAAUAUCUCAAGACCUGGUUGUGUAUAAUGCACAUAUCCAUUAUCUGCUGGCUCUAAUUUAAGAGCAGUUAAUAUAAAUUACCUUUUACUCCACAAGUAAUGGACUAAAUCACAUUUUUGACCCUUUUGCACUUCAGCGUUUGAGGAGUUGACAGAUGUAAAGCAAUACCACGUAUUUAAGGGGAGCUUGCAAUUAAAAAAUCAACACCCAAAAAUUAUUUCAAGGAAUUUCAAGCAAGGACUGAGCCCUGCUAGGAAAGAUGGACCUUCAAUUUUGCUUGUGCUCAUCCUUUUGUAAAAGGCAGCAAAAAUUUAGAACCAGUGAACUAGAGAACUGGAAAGUCCCAGCCAGGCCCAGCUGAGGUUUUUAUACAAUGGUUUUUCUUCUCAGCAAUAUUAUUUUAAAAGAAAUGCAAACCCACUAUCUCUGCUUCAUGAGGUAAGAAGACAAAUAUUUUUGUUUCCCUUUUGCAAGCUCUUCUCAAGUAACCAGACUGGAAUUAUCUUUUGGGUGAUGUAAACACUUCUCCCAUGAGCAAACCCACUGAUUGGCUUUAAUUUAUUUAUUGACUUUCUGUAAUUCACAACCCAUUUCCUCAAAGCAGCAUCAGCCAAUUUCGCUCCUUAUUAAAAUAACCCUCUCUUAAUUGAUAAAUUCUAUUUUUGAAAUGUUUCCUGAUUCUAGUAUGGCAGUUUGGGAAAUCUGACUCAGUACAACUCAUGUCUGAGGUUAGGAAGCCACUGAAGCUUUCGCAUCCCAGACUUUCACAGCAUAAGCAAAAGCUGUCAAAAGCUGCCACUAGAAAAUCCUUUUAUUUAGAAUAUCUUGAGACAAACGUUUGACAGAGUUUUCUUUCACUUCCCCAUGUGCCACUGCUGUUCAGCUAACCAGGAAAAAAAAAAUCCCCUACAAAGCCUCCACUAGUUCAGGAAAUGAACUAUUUAUUUUUGAAGGUUUCCCCCACCCUAUAACACCUAAACUAAAACUUCCUUGAGCUUAAUCCUCUUGAGGAAGACAGCAGAGAGGUAAUUCCUCCUUUCAGAGGUCUUUGACGUGUGUCACGUUGUGCUUUCACCCUGAUCAUCCUUUGUGCAAACUCCAAUUCCAGUUUAUUCCGUCUCUCUUUACAGACCAGCUUUUCUGGAGGCCCCUGAGGCUGAUCCCCGACAGGAUCUGGGAUCAGGGAACAGGGACAGGACACGAGGCUCAGGCUGGACCAGCAGGAAUUUCCCCGUGGAAAGGAGAUUUGUUUAGAUAAAUAUUGGUUUUAGAGGUUAUGAGAUUUUAGAGCAGGAAGUAUUUGGUUGUACUUUAAGAGUAAUUGUAUGGUUUUUUCUUAUAAGGUAAUAUAUAAUAUUUUUAAACUAAUAGAUAGUUGUUAUAGAAUUUAUUUUGGUUUUUAAUUUAUUAUUUUUAUUUACUUUUGUUAUAGUGUGGAUAUUUUAUUUAAUAAAAUAACAUGUUUAAACAUUAUUUUAAUAAAUAUAUUAUUUUAAUAUUAAUUUCAUUAAAUAAAAUAUUAUUAAAUAUUAUUUAUAUAAAUAUAUAUUAUAUAUAAAUGCAUAUAUUUGAACAUAUGCUUUUUAAAUGUUUUUAUAAUUUUAAAAUUUUAGUUAUUUUACAUAACUACAUUUUAUAUAAUUAAUUAUUCUUAUUUUAUUCCUAUAGGUUUUUAUUUAAGGUAUAUUUUUAUUUAUAACUAUAGAAAUAGAAGUUUAUGAUUUUUUUGUUGACUGUUUGUGUACUGUAUUUUUAGAUGAGGUCAGGCCUUGGCAGGAGCUGCCCAGGGAGGGUUGGAGUGCCCAUCCCUGGGGGUGUCGCAGGAAUUCCUGGAGGUGGCACUCAGGGACAAGGAUUUUCAGUUUCUCUGUGCUUUAUCCACUGGGAUGUGGAAAUCCAGGAUGUUCUCCAGCCUCAGCACAGCAUCCCCUCUGCUCAGGGCCUCCUCCGUUUGUGGAACCAGAACAACUUCUGGAGAGGUUUGUAUUAUAAAUACAAACAAGGAAAUGGUUUUUUUCCCCUCAGCCUCCACGUUUCACCUCAGAUUUUCUCCCUCAAAGCAUUAUAAAAAUACCAAGGGGCCAGAAGCCUUUCAACGAGUUUCAUGUUGAAAAACAACAAAAUACCAUGAAAUACCAAGCCCCAAGUGGUUCUGCAAAGCACAUGAGAAGAUUUCAGUGACCUAUGUGCAUGUUUUGAAUCUAAGUGUGAGCAAGAAACACAGAACUGUUCUCCAAGAGAACAAAACUUCAGCCUGGAGGGUUUAUUUAUUUUAAAAAUGUGACAUUAAAGCAAUUCCUUCCACCAAUUAUGCUGGAUGCAGUCACAGAGCCUGUGUGUGGCAGAUCAUAAUAAUUCCCUGAUCUCUUACAAAUAGAAAUCCCUAAUCCCCUGCUCAGCUCUCCUGAGUCAACAACCUCCUGCCUGGAUUUCCAUCCAUAUGGAUUCUCUGAGGAGGAGCAGAGAUGCCAGGCUGGCUUUGGGUUGGGAGGGACCUUAAAUCCCAUCCCAUGGCAGGGACACCUCCCACUGUCCCAGGCUGCUCCCAGGGAUCCAGGAGCAGCCCCAGCUUCCCUGGGAAUUCUGUUCCAGGGCCUGCCCCCCUCACAGCCUGGAAUUCCUUUGCAAUAUCCAAUCCAAACCUACUUUCCUUUUGUGAUAAAUGCAUAUUUUAUGAUUGGCUUUUUGCAAAUAUUCAAAUGAAUAUUAAAUGUGUUGUGUUAGAAA